rnacentral:rRNA from 1 species
AGGACGAACGCUAGCGGCGUGUUUGAAACAUGCAAGUCGAACGGGAAGAGCAAUCUUUUAGUGGCGAACGGGUGCGUAACACGUAAAGAACCUAUCCAACAGUGGGGGAUAGCCUCUGGAAACGGGGGGGUAAUACCGCAUACGGUAUAGAGCAGGCAUCUGCUUUAUAGGAAAGGAAUACGAAAGUAUUUCACUGAUGGAGGGCUUUGCGGCCUAUCAGGUAGUUGGUGGGGUAACGGCCUACCAAGCCAAAGACGGGUAGCUGGUCUGAGAGGACGAUCAGCCACACUGGGACUGAGAUACGGCCCAGACUCCUACGGGGGGCAGCAGUUUAGAAUAUUGUGCAAUGGGCGAAAGCCUGACACAGCGACGCCGCGUGGGUGAUGAAGGCCUUAGGGUCGUAAAGCCCUGUUGGUAGGAAGAGCAAGGACGGUACCUACCGAGGAAGCCCCGGCUAACUACGUGCCAGCAGCCGC